CCCUUAGAUGCUCUGGGCCGCACGCGCGCUACACUGGUCGAUGCAACGAGUUUCUUUCCUUGGCCGACAGGCCUGGGCAAUCUUUGAACAUCGAUCGUGAUCGGGAUAGAUUCUUGUAAUUUUUGAUCUUAAACGAGGAAUUCCUAGGAAACGCAAGUCAUCAGCUUGCAUUGAUUACGUCCCUGCCCUUUGUACACACCGCCCGUCGCACCUACCGAUUGAAUGGUCCGGUGAAAUCUCCGGACUGGCGUGAGUCGGAGCAAUCUGACAAACACCGGAAAGUUGAUUAAACCUUACCAUUUAGAGGAAGGUGAAGUCGUANCA
rnacentral:rRNA from 1 species